AUGUUCUCUACAUCUCUACUGCUCCUGCUGGCAGCUGCUUCUUAUGUGCAUGGUGUGGAACUGACUCAGCCUGCUUCCAUGACAGUCCAGCCAGGCCAGAGUCUCUCCAUCCAGUGCAAGGUUUCAUAUUCACUUACGAGCUACAGUACAACUUGGAUUCGACAACCUGCAGGAAAAGCUCUGGAGUGGGUCGCAACUAUAGGUUAUGAUGGUAACACUUACUACAGUGAGAAACUGAAAAGCAGGUUUCAGGUUUCCAGAGACACGUCCAGCAGCACAGUGACAUUAACAGGACAGAACAUGCAGACUGAAGACACAGUUGUGUAUAACUGUGCUCGGCGACCACAGUGA